UUAGAAGUAGUGACACAGAUUAUAACUGCAAAGUCAGUAUUGCUAUCGGUAAAUUAAGCCUUAAUGUAACAACCCUUUCUGCUUCACCAGUCUUGCAGGCCUUGUGGUUUUAUCAUCAGUGAAAGGACCAGCUGAAAAAUUGCCAACAGAAAGCUCGGCCAUAAAGGGUACAAAUUCAAGAUUGCCAUAAAGCAUUUCAUAGGGUUUCCCCUUUUAGCAACAGCUGUCAAACUGUAAGAGGGUGGUGCUGGGGUUUUGUUGUUUACUUAAAAGAAACAAACAACCACAGAUGCCCAGUCCAGCAUCAAAGAAACCAUCACCACUAAUGGAGAGAAUUCACACUUUUAUUCAAUUUGAGCAGUGCUCGGGGUAUCUGUUACCUGGGAUGAAACCACUAUUCUGCCAGGGGUGAAGAAUAUUUUCGGAAGUGAAUUGUUUCUAAAUACUUGCCUGGGAAUCAGGGGAUAAGCCUCUGUUUAAGAAAACAGCUUUUUUUGCUGAGCUAUUGCAAAGAGGUGUCCACGUGAUUAAACUGAAACAAAAGUGUAUUGGGGAUCUUCCUGCUUCCGAGUUUUUUUCCCUGCCCACAAAAUUUCACCAGAAUAAGAAAGUGAAACAAAUCAGAUGUGGUUUAUUUUGUCAUCCAGACAUUUAGAUACCAGUGAUAGUAUUACAUAGCAAGCAGACAUCUACAUUGUUACAUAUCUCAAGACAGUUUGUUGUUGGUUUUUUUUUGAUCCAGGAGAAAACACCAUAAAUUAAAAGACUCAAAAUUUGUAGAAAUUGUGUGGAGGAAAAAAAAAUAGAUUGAGUAUGAAUGAAUAGUAAAAGACAUGAUCCUAAAGAAACAAAACUGAUUAGAUAUUCCUAUUUUUGUUUUAUUUGUAAGUAUGUUAGAACUGGAAUUGCCUUUUGUCCCCACAAAACCACUGAGAAUACUUUAACACCAGCAAAUUAGUAGGACACAUUGAUUUAAUGAGAGGUUGGGGCUCAAUGCAAAACUUCUCAGCUUAUAAAUAUGAGUUGUUUUGAGCUCAUUUUGCUCUUUUUAUUCAUGAGCAAGAUCACAAAAGAAGAAAACAAGUUCAUGCAGUUCUGAGGAAUAAUGAAGUAAUCAAAAAAAGGCUAUUUCAAAAAUAGCCAUUAUAAGCUAAUAGCCAAACUAAAAGUAAAAAUAGGUGCACAGGGGUCUAUUUAAUUGCUAAUGGAUACAGUAGCAUAAUGCAAUCUGUUAUUGGUUUUGAAAACUGAAGUCUUUGUCUAUAUUAAUAUUGUCCAGAAAGUUCUUUUCUUCCAUUUUAGGCAACAAGACCCCAUGACAUCCCUUCGACUCCCACAACACACACCUGCAGAGUUAGUUAAGGUUUUUAAAUAAAAGUUUUCUUGUACUAAUAAAAGAAACUGCAAAUUUACAGCUUCGACUUCAUCCGGAUGGAAGAAUAUCUGAAGCCUGAGCCAUCCUUGAUAACUUGCAGCUCCUUCACAGCUCGCACAGUUUAACAUUCUGUCGUAUAAAAGGGUUUAAGGAAAGCCUAAUUAUUACAGAAGCAAUUUCCCUUCAAGGUGAUACAGCCACCACUACUGCCAGACUCAAGAAUCCUUACAGGAGACAGUGACUCUUGAAAAUCCAGGCUUGGAGCUGCUGUUCUAAUGGUUGGCUGAACCAAGGCAGAAUCCUCAUUGCUUGUUGUUCAGCAUUUUCAUCAUAAAUUCCUGUGCCUUGAGUGGUUAUUGAAGAUGAAAAUGUGGAUUCAGAGCUGCCCAGUUGUUCCGUGCAUGUCUUAGAAGAUUUCCUUAGCUUGAAAAGAGCUGUGGAAGGAAAAACCCUUCAGCCUGUUGGCCUGACAUUGGAGACACAAAUUUGAAUAUCACAUCAGACAAGUUCACUUCUUACUGGUCUGUCACCCCUGGCAAGUUCUUUGUCUUCUAAAAUGUAGGUGUUUUGGGAUGUGGAAAAUUACCUUGUCUGUACUUUUCAUGGCCGUGUGGUAUUAAAAGACAGUAAAAGUAGACAACUAACAAGGGAACAUCUUUACAAGAGGGCAAAGAAGCAUUUAGACCUGUGGGAGAUGACUCUUUCCCCCUCUCUCUUUUUUCCCUGCACACACACACACACACACACAGAGCCCAGGCCUUGAGUGAUCAAUGCUCUGCCGGGCCGGGCUCCUGCUGCACUCACCAGCUUCUAACAAAGCAGCUGCUUCCCUGGGCUGCUGGAGCAGCUCCUCAGGACAGGGCAACAUCCUCCCAAAGCCAGGCUUUGUUUGCAUCCCGACUGCCACAGCACACGAGGGGGAAAUGGGAAUUCAGAGCUGCCAGCUACACUAUCUCCGCUAUCAGCUCACCAAUAAGGCCCAGUACAGACCCGCAGAGCCUCUGGAUAAAUUGUAUUUUCCAAGGGUUAAUUAAGCUGUCUUGAGCUUCUGCAUGAAGGGGAACAAACUGGCACUUGCAGCGUUUUCUGAAACCUGCUGUCGACAUUGCAGUCCCUGCUGCUUUUAGCUAUAUCGAUCCGCUGCCUGACCUGUGAAAUCCUUGAUGGCUGCUAACACUGGAAGCUUACUGGAGCUUUCCAAGGGAGCUUCAGGACAGCUUGUGUAGUCAAGUACAAUUACCUGUCCCUCCAGGAGAGCCAAUUAGUUCACAAAGAGCUGGAGCAGAACAAAUGUUUUGUGUGUGAUUUAGAAUCUUUUUAAAAAAAAAAAAAAAAGGGCUUUGUUCUGUCUCAUUCUUUUGUUUCUAAUUUUAUGAUUAUUGCUCCGCUCAUGACAAUCCACACGGCGUUUCCUUACGUGUCUCAUCAAGGACUACUUGGGCAUGAGAAAACAGAUUUACAGUUAUUAUUUUUGCGACAGAAAAAAAGCCUCCUGUGCGAUGCAAAAAGCCAGCCUUAGCCAUUUGAAAUACCAUGGACCUAAAAGUAGAAUGCUCACAUACUGGAUAUUUUCAGAGCCGUAGAUUAAUGUGUUUAAAGCACGCAGCAUAUGCAGAUAUUUGUGCUGUGGUUUUUAUAGCACAUAUAUACAUAUAUGUAUAUAUAGUUAUACACGGAUCUCACUUUAAAUUCUGGGGCUCGAUUUGCUGGGAGUGAAAAGGCAGCAACUGUUGUACCAAAAAACAGACCAUAAAAAGAGUGGAAAUUAAAGAGAUCACCGUCUAUAAUAUAACCCAGUUAACGCAAUAUUUACAACUUUUAAAAAUAAAAAUUAAAGACGGUGAGCCAAAAUUUCAUCUCAGUUACUCUGAAGAAUGUUACUAUUUGGCUCAGGUUCUCUGGGGCUAAAAGAGCAGCACUGGCUUGGGCACAAACUUCUUCAAUUAAUCUGAACUAAUAAUUCAAAUAAGUAAGGGCCCAAUAAUUGAAGUGGUCAGUUACAGUGGACCGAUUCCAAACUCUCCACAUAUAAAUCAGAAUACAGCACAGGUGGUUGCCGUAGGAAAAUGUGGAAUGUCAUCAGAGGUGUCCUGAGGUCAGUGAUGAUGAGUUUUGUAGGAAUUGCACAGCUCAGCCCGUUGCUGAAAAUGAAAUCCUUGGAGUUUUGAUUUUUUUGGGAUAUCUUGGCUGUUUGUUUUUAAUCUUCCUUUAGAAGAGUGGUAGAGAGUAGCUGGGCAGAUAGCUGCAAUUUUAACUGUAACUUUUUUUUCCUAGCAAAGUAAACGGUAAAAAAUCCUUACCUUUUCUUAACCAGAGUAAAUUAUAAUGUAAUUUAUGUUAGAAAAUUGGGAGCAAUUAAAUUCCCAGCUGAAGAAAACUCUUGAGUCAGUCCCUAUGCAUAAGAAAAAAGGCUUCCAUGCUCCUGUGCUGGUGAGGACUUUGUGAGAGCUGGAGUUUACAACCUUUCCCUAAAGCAUGAGCUUAUGCAGGAGAUGGCUGCUGUUUACUCACUUCCAGAGCUUUUUCUAUUGUCACCCUGAAUGUCACCAAAUCAUAGGCAUCAAUUUGGGAGAAAAAUGUAAGUUUGGCUCAAGUGUUUUUAUGAGCUCCUUUUCAUCAGCCAUAGAGCAAGUUCCCACAACUAAUUGAGCCUCUGCUCUGAUCAAAUGGUUGGUGAGGGAAGGAACCAGGUGACCAAAGCUUGGUGCCCACACACUGCCCCAAGUGUCACCAAGUGCCUGUUCCCCUCUGCAUUCUGUGCUCUUGUGGUGACACUGCUGAGCUAUGAAGCCCUCAAUUAUUUAUUUGGGAAGCGCUGCAAGUGUGAGGGGCAUUUCUGGAACCUGCAGCUUCACAAUUAAGAAAUAAAGCAGUUUCUUCUACUGUCAGUGGCCUGUAUCCCUGCUUGCUGAGCUGCAUGCUGGGCAGCCAGAGGAGGAAUUGUAGGGGCACAAUGCCAUGGAUUUGCUUUGCUGGUGUAAUUACUUGGCAGCAUUGUCAAUAUUAUCUACCUCACUUAGCAAAAAAAAGGGAUAUUACUGUGAAAAUCUCAACAAUUAUAUUAAAGGAAGCCUUACUCAGGAAGCAUCAUAAAUUGUAUUGCAGCAAGCCUGCAGAGCAAUUCCUUUCCUUGGAUUUCUCCCUCUCUUCCUCGCUGCUUUAUCCAGAAAAACCCCAUGAUGUGGUGGGCAGAGGAAGGAGUGAGUGUUAACCAGCACAAAAGCUGCAGCAUUCCUGGCAGGACGGGGAUUUUUGUCCUUUGGGUCAGGGUUAAGCCCAGCACAGCAGCACUUUCAAACUGACUUAGAGGAGGAGCAGCUGCAGAGGAAGGGUCAGCAAAAGCAAAGUGCUGAGGUGUAACUGUGUGUGGGAGGGAAAUGUUUCCCGGGUUGGUGGUACCAAAUAUUCUUGAU